UUAGAGUUUGAUCCUGGCUCAGAACGAACGCUGGCGGCAGGCUUAACACAUGCAAGUCGAGCGCAUCCUUCGGGGUGAGCGGCAGACGGGUGAGUAACGCGUGGGGAUAUGCCCAAAGGUGCGGAAUAACUGUGGGAAACUACAGCUAAUACCGCAUGUGCCCUUCGGGGGAAAGAUUUAUCGCCUUUGGAUUAACCCGCGUCAGAUUAGCUAGUUGGUAGGGUAAUGGCCUACCAAGGCGACGAUCUGUAGCUGGUCUGAGAGGAUGACCAGCCACACUGGGACUGAGACACGGCCCAGACUCCUACGGGAGGCAGCAGUGGGGAAUAUUGGACAAUGGGCGCAAGCCUGAUCCAGCCAUGCCGCGUGAGUGAUGACGGCCUUAGGGUUGUAAAGCUCUUUUAACAGGGACGAUAAUGACGGUACCUGUAGAAUAAGCCCCGGCUAACUUCGUGCCAGCAGCCGCGGUA
rnacentral:rRNA from 1 species